rnacentral:misc_RNA from 1 species
AACGCACCUUGCGCUCCUUGGUAUUCCGAGGAGCAUGCCUGUUUGAGUGUCAUUAAAUUCUCAAUCUCUACAACUUUGCGUUGUCUAGAUUGGAAGUGGGGGUUUAUCUGUGUGGAAUAGUUCCUCACUCCCCUUAAAUGUAUUAGCUGGAAUGCCUCUGCAUCUCUGACUAUCAGUGUGAUAAUUAUCUAUGCUGUAGUUGUUGCAUGAGGGUAUCUGCUUCAUAAAUCGUCGCAAGACAAUUCUAAAUUGACCAUCUUGACCUCAAAUCAGGUAGGACUACCCGCUGAACUUAA